AACCGGGCGUGAGGGGAGCCCUCGGGAGGUGCCCGCCAAGACGGCGCCGAGUCCUGAGGGAGCCCAGACCCGUGAGGCGGGGGUCUGCCAGCAGCAAGGGUGGCUACAGGAAUGGACUUUCAAUUGCCUUGAGUAUUUCCUUUGAGAGCAAAACAUAAAAGUACAGCUGAAAGUCAAUGAGAAAUGCUCUUGCCUCAUAAAUGUAUGCUCAGAGCAAGGCUUUCACAUAUCAAGGUCACUCAUAAUACCUUGGAAUUCAUCCUUGGAAGGAUGACUUGGAAGUCAUCCUUGCAGAAGCCUUCAUGAUACAUCUCUCCAUUUCAAGGGUUGUGUUGUAGAUGCAAAGACCUCCUUGUUGAAACCAAGUGAUUUAGAGUUAAGAACCAGCAACAUGCAAGAAACUUCUAGUAACAACUUCCCUUGUGGAACAGCUUGUAUGAUACACGUCAAAUUAUUAUUUUUCUGCUUUA